UAGGAGGUUGAUGCUCCUUUGAGCGAUAAGACUGCCUCUACUAAACCAAAACCGGUUUCAAAACUCGACAAACAGGUUCAGGAUUUGAUUAAUUUGAUUUGUGACGUAAAGUCGAUGGAAGAAGUUAUAAAAGAAAUGAAAUAUGACGUCAAAAAGGCACCAUUAGGUAAACUCACUAAGGCACAGAUAAAGUCAGGAUAUGCAGCACUGAAGAAGAUUGAGGGUUUAAUACAAUCUGGUAAAACUAGCGGGGACCCUCUCUUCAAGGCUUGUGAUGAGUUUUAUACAAGAGUACCUCAUGACUUCGGUAUGAGGAGACCUCCAUUAAUAACCA